rnacentral:rRNA from 1 species
UACGAAGGGGGCUAGCGUUGCUCGGAAUCACUGGGCGUAAAGCGCACGUAGGCGGAUUGCUAAGUCAGGGGUGAAAUCCUGGAGCUCAACUCCAGAACUGCCUUUGAUACUGGCGAUCUUGAGUCCGGGAGAGGUGAGUGGAACUGCGAGUGUAGAGGUGAAAUUCGUAGAUAUCAGGAGGAACACCAGUGGCGAAGGCGGCUUCCUGGACACUAACUGACGCUGAGACGCGAAAGCGUGGGGAGCAAACAGG